ACCUCGCAAGAGGAUUGACGGUACGGGUAUAAGAAGCCCCGGCUAACUACGUGCCAGCAGCCGCGGUAAGACGUAGGGGGCCAGCGUUGCUCGGAAUUACUGGGUGUAAAGGGUUCGUAGGCGGUGUGGCAAGUCGGGAGUGAAAUCUCUGGGCUCAACCCAGAGUCUGCUUCCGAAACUGCUGUGCUUGAGUGUGGGAGAGGCGCGUGGAAUUGCAGGUGUAGCGGUGAAAUGCGUAGAUAUCUGCAGGAACACCCGUGGCGAAAGCGGCGCGCUGGACCACUACUGACGCUGAGGAACGAAAGCUAGGGGAGCAAACAGGAUUAGAUACCCUGGUAGUCCUAGCCCUAAACGAUCAGGACUUGGGGUGCCACCCGUUCGGGUGUCGUCCCGGAGCUAACGCGUUAAGUCCUGCACCUGGGGAGUACGGUCGCAAGACUGAAACUCAAAGGAAUUGACGG
rnacentral:rRNA from 1 species